AUGUAGCUCAGUGGCAGAGCACGUGCUUAGCAUGCAAAUCAUUCUGGGUUCAAUCCCUAGCAU
rfam:Heterocephalus glaber contig216988, whole genome shotgun sequence.